rnacentral:tRNA from 1 species
GGUUCCAUAGUGUAGCGGUUAGCACGUCUGCUUUACACACAGAAGGUCCUGGGUUCAUGCCCCAGUGGAGCCA